CACUUUCCUGCCUUCUCCUUGAGGACACAGCCUGGCAGACAGGAUGUCACUGCUGGAAGCAUUCACCUUCUUGUCCUUCUGGGCUGUUGGACUUGGGUUAACAAAAGUGGAGCAGUCCCAGAUAUCCAUUUCCGCAGAAGUAAAGAAAAGUAUCAACAUACAUUGCAAGAUAACGAGCUCAGAUUUUGCAGGGGAAUACAUUCACUGGUACCGGCAGAAACCUAACGAGGCUUUGGAGCAUCUGAUUACUGUGAGCUCGACAAAAUCCCCAGCUCGAGCUAACCUAGGUGGGAAGAAAAAUAAACUUGAAGCAAGGAAGGAUUCUCAAACUUCCACUGCAAUCCUUACGGUAAAUUUCAUAGAAAAAGAAGAUGUGGCCAUUUACUACUGUGCAGGAUGGCAGUGUGAUGGCUCAGGUUGGAUCAAGAAAUUUGGAGAAGGGACUAAGCUCAUCGUGAUUCCCUCUGAUAUACAUCUUCCUGUAGACAUUUUCCCCAAACCAAUUGUUUUUCUUCCUUCCAUUGCUGAGAUAAACCUCCAUAAGACUGGGACAUAUUUUUGUCUUCUUGAUAAAUUCUUCCCUGAUGUUAUCAAGGUAUAUUGGAAAGAAAAGAAUGGCAAUACAAUUCUGGUUUCCCAGCAGGGAAAUACCAUGAAGACUAAUGACAUGUAUAUGAAAUUCAGCUGGCUGACUGUAACCGAAAAUUCAAUGGACAAAGAACACAAAUGUAUCAUCAAACAUGAGAACAAUAAAGGAGGGGUUGACCAAGAGAUUCUUCUUCCUUCAGUGAUUCAAGUUGUCACUGCUUCUGAUUCUACAACAGCUUCCCCAACAGAGGGAAAGAAGAAGAGAAAAAGGGAAGUCCCUGCUAUCAAUUCCACAAAAGCUUGUGUGAAAGAUGAAAUAGACCCCCUGCAGCUGCAGCUCACCAACACGUCUGCGUAUUAUAUCUACCUCCUCCUCCUCGUCAAGAGCACGGUCUACUCUGCCAUCAUGGCCCUCUGUCUGUUUAGCAGAACAGCAGUCUUUGGCGACUGA